AAAUUCCAAAUUCUCUUCUCUCCUUCCUUCUCCUUCCCUUUCCUUAAAAAGGCAGGCAAUUUGAUAUAGAUUAGACUUGGAUCACUCACAUUUCCAUAGCACUUUUUCUGUUUGAGAACAAAGAUGGCUCUUCCAACAACCGUAUGAGGCAGUACAAAUACUAUCUUUGCCCUUGCAGUUGAGAACGUGACAGGUGAACUUGACUGUGACCUUUAACUCAGUUGUCCUUUUUCUGCAUCCAGUCUUCCAACAUAACCCAUAGCCAUGCAAUUCCUAUUUAAUACCUUCGGUCCUGUGGCCAUUUAUCUGGUGGUGUCAGUACACAAAGCUUAGAUCCAGAUUCAAGAAAACUCAUCUUCCAAAGCUCAGAUACUGGCUUUAGAUGCUGGCUAGCUGUGUGACCCUGGGCAAGUCACUUAACCUUGUUUGCCUUACUCAUCUGUAUGAACUGGAGAAACUCAGCCAGAGAAAACUGAAAUGUUUAAAAAAACAAAAACAAAAAAAACCUUAACACUGGCUGACCUCUCCAGGAAGGAAGAAUCAGGCUCAUAAAUUAUGUGUUGACUUGGGUUUCUCCUCUUCGGGGCUAAGUGUUUCAUUCUGACUGCCUGGCUUUAAGUCCUGCCUUUAUGAAAAUAUUUAAUUCUUUGGUGUAAGAUGCUGGAAAGAUAAAAGUGCUUUGAAAACUUUUAAGUGUCUUACAAUUAGAAUUUCUGAUUAGUAGAUUCUGUCUUAAUAAUCACACAGAAGACUUUAGUUCAACUAUUUGAUUUUAAAGUCAAAUUAUAAACAGAAGCAAAAUAUAUGAAUUUGUCAUACUGUCUUUUGUGCUGAGGCUAAAGUUUGUUCUUUAGCCAGGACAAACACACACAUGGCCCAGUUCUCAAAUGUGGGCUCAUGCCCAAGACAGAUGCUGUGAUUUCCUGUAUUCUCUUAGGACUGUGCCAGUGGUAGCUAGUCACAGGCCACAUUCUCUGGAAUUUUUUUUUGAAAGGGACCCAGAGGUCAACUAGUCCAAUCCCCUGCCUUCUCUGAGAUGCUUCAGAUACUAACUCUUUUGAGGUAUUUGUUCACUCUCUGAUAUUUGGACAAUUUUUUGGAAUUUAUCAGGGAAGAGAAGAGAACUUAUUGACAGAAUGGGAGGAUCAAGGGAAGAUGUGAUUUUUAAACAAUUUUUUUUUCUUUUUUGAAUAGAAGAUAUUUGGGCACUUAGAACAGAUAGCCUUAUUAUCUCACCUUAUAUCCAGCCUGUUAAACUGUAGGCUCUUUGAAGGAGAAGCGUACAUGGAAGCCAUCUUUGGACAUCUCACAUAGCUUUAGGAAAGUUUCCAAAGUCAUUUAACUCGGCUCCUGUCUCAUGUCUCAAGAAAACCCAAAGGCCAGAAAAGCAAUGAUUUGCCUUCAAAGUUAUACAAAGCUCUAAAUGGCAGAGCUGGAUUACAACCCAUAUGCACCUGACUCCAUGUCCAGCAGUUUUGGCUUUGUGCAGCCAUUCCCAUAUGUAGUAGUCAGAGGAGGGAAGGGAAUAAACAUUUCUCUAGAGUCCACUGCAAGCCAGGCACUCUGCUAAGCCAUAUAGAGAUAUUGUUCAUUUCAUCCUUACGACAAUCCUGUGAGGUUGGUGCAGUUAUCUUCUUUUUGCAAUUGAGGAAACUGGGUAACAGUGAAACGACUUAUUCAGGGUCACACAGCUAGUAAGUGUGGAGUCUUCCUGGCUCAUUAUACCACCUAACUCACUCUAAUAAAUAUCUAAUGAAUGAAGGAAGGGAUUGAAUUUGUGUAUAUUUACUCAUGCUCUUAUUUUGUGUGUAUGUGAGAAUGUGAGUAAAUAAACGUGUGUAUUAUAACACUCCAUAUGUAUACUAUAGAAUGUAUCUGUACACACGUGAUUACACUGUGUGAUUGUAGAUACAUGUUCCUCUAAUAAAUAUCUAAUGAAUGAAUUUGAAUUUAUAUAUAUUCACUCAUGCUCCCAUUAUUUUACAUGUGUGUGAGAGCAUGAGUAAACACGUUUAUGCAUACAAUGUAUGUAUGUACUACAUGAUGUAUCUCUACACACGUGAUUACAUGUGUAUGAUUGUAUAUACAUGUGUGUGUACCAGUGUCCCAAGAGUCUUAGUACAGUUUCAAGAUUAAGCGUUAUAACUUUAAAGCAACACCAAGAUUUGGGGGUACCUUGUAUAUAAUAGCUGUUGUUUAUAUGGUGUUUUAAAGUUUGUGGAAUACUUCAAUAAGUAAUAGCCCAUACUAGCUGAAGGCACUAAGAUAUGGGGGUACCUUGUAUAAAAUAGCUGUUGUUAAUAUGGUAUUUUAAAGUUUGUGGGAUACUUCAAUAAUAGCCGUACUACUUGAAGGCACUAAGAUAUGGGGGUACCUUGUAUAGAACAGCUGUUGUUAAUAUAGUCAUUUAAGGUUAGCAGAAUGCUUAGAACAGCUUGUAGGUCUGGGAAGGGCUUUGCACAUGUUCUGUUCCAUUGGUCCUCAAAACAGUCCCAUGUAGUAGAUGCUGUUAUCACCCUUCCUGCUCUUUUCCCCUGGCACUCUUCUGUUGCCUUACACAGAGGUGAUGAUCCUCAUUGUGUAAUGUUUUUCCCUCCAUCCCCAAGGUGACCUGUGUAUCAUGUAUUCAGCCCUACAGGACACAGGCUCUUUUUCCUGUGGCACCAUUUUCCACUGAUCCAGUUGUCUCCUCCUGUCACUCCCUGAACCUUUUGAGCUAAGUAACACUGGCAAAUGAGGUAACCAGAGAGACCCUCGCAUUUGUUUAACUUGCAGUGCGUGAAUCAGGGCAAAUUUGUCUUGGAGCUGGAGCUGAGUGUAGGUUUUCCUUCCCUUCCUCCCUCUCUCCCCCUAAAAAAAGUUUGCUCUUGGUGGAGGAAAAAUAGGGAAAGCUGAGUCAGGCACUUAUUUUCCUCACAAAGCAGCUGUGCUUUUUCUUAGGAGCCAGGUUGCUUAUUAAGAAUAGAGAAAAAGAAAAAGCAGGACCCUUGGAGCCUACUUAUUCUCACUUGUUUGCUUGAUUUUAAAGGGAGGGAAGAUGUCUUGGGGACAGAGCACAAACUUGUCUGGAAAAAUCAUUUAAUGGCUGAAUGGAGUGAUUGGAGUGGACAGAAACUUGGCAGGUAGACCAGCAGGCUGUUGUCCAAGCAUGAGGUGAUAAGGUCUGUAUUUGAAUGGAAGCUGUGUCAAAAAAGAGAAAAUGUGUGGGUGAGAGAUAUCACAGAAGCAAAAUCAAUAGGCCUUGGCUACCGAUUGGACUUGGGAAGGUGAGGAGGUGAGGAUGAUCCCUGUGUUUUGAGUCUGGGGGUCUGGGAGCAUUUGUGUUACCUUUGACAGGGAUUAAUCUAAAAUGUGUACCCAACCUUCCAUUUAAGAUGGCCAGUAGAUAUCUGGAGAUGAGUGGUGAAAUGAGGAAUGGAUUAGGAGGUAGAGAGGUGAUAAUUAAAUCCAUGGAAGCUAAUGGGAUCACCAGUUUUUAGGAGCCAUCCUUUCAGAAAAGCAUUGUUAAGUUGGGAGAAUGUUGAGGGUGAUGGAAAGGGCAUUGUGGGGAGAGAGGGACCCAUAUUCUGUGUUCAAUAAAAAAAAAAAACUAUAUGUUUAGAUUGGGGAGAAAAAGAUAAUUCAGGAUAGUCCUGAUAGUUUUGUUCAGAUGUUGAAAGUGUUCUGUUAGGGAGGUAGGAUUAGUCUUGUUUUAUUUAACAAAACCAAAAAUAGGGAUGGAAGCAAUAUUGGAAAAAAAAAAAAACCAUACUAACCUUUAGAACUGUCCAAGAGUAGAAUAAUCUGUCUAAAGAUAUACUCAGUUCUUUUCCUUAAAGCAGGCACUGAACAUGGAAAUUCAUUUCAGGAUGGUGAUCACCUGCAGGAUGUCCCUUCCAACUUUCAGAUUUUGUGAUUCUGGGUCCCUAGGAGCUUUAUUUAGGGGAUUUUACAACAUGGAAUUUUUUUUUUUUUUUUAAUGACCCAG